rnacentral:rRNA from 1 species
CAGCACCUCAAGUGGUCAGGAUGAUUAUUGGGCCUAAAGCAUCCGUAGCCGGCGCUGUAAGUUUUCGGUUAAAUCUGUACGCUCAACGUACAGGCUGCCGGGAAUACUGCAGCGCUAGGGAGUGGGAGAGGUAGACGGUACUCGGUAGGAAGGGGUAAAAUCCUUUGAUCUAUUGAUGACCACCUGUGGCGAAGGCGGUCUACCAGAACACGCCCGACGGUGAGGGAUGAAAGCUGGGGGAGCAAACCGGAUUAGAGACCCGUGUAGUCC